CGGCUUCCGUUCGGCGUGGCGUUGCGUGCUCAGYGCUCGCGCAGAGCCGUUGGGAUGCCACCAGGGCUGAGAGGCGGUGGCAGGGCACCGAAAACCCCCGGGGCCUAAUACUGGCCACUUUUCAAGUGCAGCUGAACAGGAGAAGAGUGACUCAGACGAGGGGAGACUUACAGGUCAACAAGGCAACAGGGUGAAGCAUCACCCCCCGUCCUCACUACGGGGAAGGAGGAAGAGAGCAAGUGAGAAUUGGGGAAGUGGUGCAAGUUGGCAGAAGAGAUCUAGCCAUCUGUUACCAUCAACUUCAAGUGAGAAGCAGCCACCAUUUUGAAGGCAGAUGCUUCAAAAAGUGAGAGUAUCUACCCCUCAAUUACUUGGGCAGAAACCUGCCUCAAAACCAGCGUGCAAGGCCAACAUAUGAACUGAAACCUCUUUGUACCUCCUGUAGGAUCGAGUAAAAUGGGCUAAUAGCUGCAAAAUUCCAGAUAUUCCUGCUUACGUCAUCAGCGAGGCUGGUGCAUAAAACAGCGAGCUCAGGCUGAUUUAGGGAGUCACCUAUUCACUUGUGAAGAAUGCAGAUUUCUGUAGCCUGAUCGGGUAGCGAGAGCCGAGUUGCUUCGUCUCACUUUAUUUUCCCGAGGGAGAAACGGCAUCGUUGGCACGGACCUCCGAGGCAGCCCUGGACUGAAGGAGCAAGAGCUGUUAAAUCAAGCYGUGGGCACGCUAGCAGAGCUGCAGGGAUCUCCAAAACCUUUGCUAGCUCCUUGCUACCCGGCCCAUAAACUUACAAAACGUACAAAAUAAAAAAAAAAUAAAACUCCUUAAAAGUCCUGCU
rnacentral:lncRNA from 1 species